GACGAACCGAGCGAACGUUGUUCGGAAUCACUGGGCUUAAAGGGCGCGUAGGCGGCUUGCCAAGUCAGGGGUGAAAUCCUCCAGCUCAACUGGAGAAGUGCCUUUGAUACUGGCGGGCUUGAGGGAGGUAGGGGUAUGUGGAACUGAUGGUGGAGCGGUGAAAUGCGUUGAUAUCAUCAGGAACGCCGGUGGCGAAAGCGACGUACUGGACCUCUUCUGACGCUGAGGCGCGAAAGCUAGGGGAGCAAACGAG
rnacentral:rRNA from 1 species